GAUGAACGCUGGCGGCGUGCCCAAUACAUGCAAGUCGAGCGAACGGACGAGAAGCUUGCUUUUCUGAUGUUAGCGGCGGACGGGUGAGUAACACGUGGAUAACCUACCUAUAAGACUGGGAUAACUUCGGGAAACCGGAGCUAAUACCGGAUAAUAUUUUGAACCGCAUGGUUCAAAAGUGAAAGACGGUCUUGCUGUCACCUAUAGAUGGAUCCGCGCUGCAUUAGCUAGUUGGUAAGGUAACGGCUUGCCAAGGCAACGAUGCAUAGCCGACCUGAGAGGGUGAUCGGCCACACUGGAACUGAGACACGGUCCAGACUCCUACGGGAGGCAGCAGUAGGGAAUCUUCCGCAAUGGGCGAAAGCCUGACGGAGCAACGCCGCGUGAGUGAUGAAGGUCUUCGGAUCGUAAAGCUCUGUUAUUAGGGAAGAACAUAUGUGUAAGUAACUGUGCACAUCUUGACGGUACCUAAUCAGAAAGCCACGGCUAACUACGUG
rnacentral:rRNA from 1 species